rnacentral:rRNA from 1 species
GUCUACAGCCAUGCCUCCCUGAACAAGCCCGAUCAUGUCUGAUCUCAGAAGCUAAGCAGGGUCGGGCCUGGUUAUUACUUGGAUGGGAGACCACUUAGGAAGACCAGGAGCUAUAGGCG